rnacentral:rRNA from 1 species
GUGCCUAAUACAUGCAAGUCGAGCGAGCAGAACCAGCAGAUUUACUUCGGUAAUGACGCUGGGGACGCGAGCGGCGGAUGGGUGAGUAACACGUGGGGAACCUGCCCCAUAGUCUAGGAUACCACUUGGAAACAGGUGCUAAUACCGGAUAAUAAAGCAGAUCGCAUGAUCAGCUUAUAAAAGGCGGCGUAAGCUGUCGCUAUGGGAUGGCCCCGCGGUGCAUUAGCUAGUUGGUAAGGUAACGGCUUACCAAGGCAAUGAUGCAUAGCCGAGUUGAGAGACUGAACGGCCACAUUGGGACUGAGACACGGCCCAAACUCCUACGGGAGGCAGCAGUAGGGAAUCUUCCACAAUGGACGCAAGUCUGAUGGAGCAACGCCGCGUGAGUGAAGAAGGUUUUCGGAUCGUAAAGCUCUGUUGUUGGUGAAGAAGGAUAGAGGUAGUAACUGGCCUUUAUUUGACGGUAAUCAACCAGAAAGUCACGGCUAACUACGUGCCAGCAGCCGCGGUAAUACGUAGGUGGCAAGCGUUGUCCGGAUUUAUUGGGCGUAAAGCGAGCGCAGGCGGAAGAAUAAGUCUGAUGUGAAGGCCCUCGGCUUAACCGAGGAAUUGCAUCGGAAACUGUUUUUCUUGAGUGCAGAAGAGGAGAGUGGAACUCCAUGUGUAGCGGUGGAAUGCGUAGAUAUAUGGAAGAACACCAGUGGCGAAGGCGGCUCUCUGGUCUGCAACUGACGCUGAGGCUCGAAAGCAUGGGUAGCGAACAGGAUUAGAUACCCUGGUAGUCCAUGCCGUAAACGAUGAGUGCUAAGUGUUGGGAGGUUUCCGCCUCUCAGUGCUGCAGCUAACGCAUUAAGCACUCCGCCUGGGG